rnacentral:lncRNA from 1 species
GCUGCGACCAGUGCCUAAGGAGCUCUACAGCAAGUCAUGUAAUCCCGCCUGUGUCUGUCGGAGGACGAAAUUUGGCGAGGCUAAAGGAUGGGUGUCACAUUAACACGGUGGCGAUCGCAACUAAACUGCAUCGUGCUCAAGUGGUCGAUCCUGAACCUUCUGUCAUCCAUGUCGGCCGAGCUUACUUUCGAUAAAGACGAGAACGCCACGCUGGUUCCGUACCCACUCACGACGCAGAAAAUUGUCACCGUCCUCCCCGAAGUGAUAAAAUCUACCACUGAUGGGGGCUUCAACGAGGGAGCAGAUGUCAAAAACGGCACCGUGAAGCUCAAGAAGUUGUCACAGAAGCGCCUCGAUGAAGAGAUCCGAACUCGCGUUGCCGAUGGGAAAGAUGGAAAAAACCCAAGGAAGAACCUGAAGAUCAUGCGGACGAAUUCAACGCUACCAACCCUGCAGCGUUUGACGGCGGCGACGGUGGCGCGGCGCCGGCGCGGGCACAAGAAGAAGCAUUCGCAGAGGGGCAAUUUGGUCAACUUCGUGCAGACGACCAAAGAACUCACUCUCUCCGGCGAGAAUGAGUCUGAGUCACGGAGCUACAACUACGACCCUACUUACCCCGUCUACAACUACCAGGCUCCGACCGAGUCUGGUGAGGACAUAAUGUCGAACUUUGGCAUGGUCAAGGACAUGUGGGGUGGUUAUCCUGAAAGUGAUUUCCAGAGUCCGACAUUUCCAUCAUUGACGACAACUUACGCCCGAAAAUGGUGCAUAGCUCAUCACCUCCUAUCCCAGAUUAUCGUUUCCGGAUUGGAAACCACCUUUUCUUAAUCCGCCGCGAUUCCGAAGACCUAUGGGUUUAGAAGAGCCUCCUGUUUACGUGGACUACGUUGAUGACACUCGAGUUAUAAAUCUUGAUGGUCUAGGCCGGUAUUGGCCCCCGGGGCAUCCGCCAAUCCUCAUCCGGACGGGCUAUCAUAGGUACCAAGACGAAGAUUCGAUCGAGUACCACCAGUUCCGGGACCACGAGGAACAUCAUGGAGGUUGGGAUCUCUCAAAACUGGCCAUGAUCGUCCUCACCAAAAUUGGCCUCUUCAAGUUGAAGUUGUUCGUUCUGCUCAAACUUGCUAUAUUGUUCUUCUUCAAAAUGAAAGUGCUCCUCAUGGCGUUGUUCCUCAAGCUCCUCAUGCUCAUGAAGGCCGCUAAGCUCCUCAAACUCCUCUUUGUUCCCUUCCUCAUUAUGUUCCUGGCGCCACUCAUUGCUUUACUACUAACGCCGUUGUUAGCAUUGCUUCCUAUGCUGCUCAAUGCGAUCCUCAACAACGUGACGGUGCCAGUAUUCGUUCCGGGUGACGGAGAGGAGACGCCGGAAACGCGGACACCCGAAGACGAUGACGUCAGCGAGUCCAGAGCGCCGCUCACACCGGCCACCCUCCUUCAGUUCAAGAUGAUCCUAUCCUCGGAGGAGUGUUUGAAGCGGGUCGUCUGUGAGAUGGCAGCCAGAAGAAAGCCACCAAUCAAAUCUGUCGUCCUCGCGAGGUUACUAGACCUUGUCGCUGCAGUAGUCCCAUAUCGGACGGUCAAAACGUACGUGCAAGUUUACAAGUCAGGACUCUACGUACAAGGGUCUCGGACCGAACCAUGGUGCUCAUCGCAGUAUGCCUGUUCUCUUAUCAAAGACACAAGCAAAACCUCCUGACACUCGCGGGCUACAUUUGGCCCCGUUUUCCUUUCCUAAGGGCAACCUCAAUGUUCAUCUAUUAGAUAAAAGUCCGUUUGCAAUACUUGCAUAUUCCCUAGAAACCUCAUUUAAAAAUCGUCACUUUUUAGCCUAUGUAUCACAAGCGCCAUGCGACGCUCAAAAAUUUCCGCCACCAUUAUCUUUUUUUUACAAAAAAUUGUUCGACGAAGUUGUCCAAAAAUUUCACUGAACUUUUUUUGUGCUGCCGAUAAAAUUUCUUGAAAUUUUCGAACAGAUUCAACAAACAAUUUACCUGUAAAAAAAUAAAAUUGCGGGGGGGGGGGAAUUUUUUAACUUGUGAUACUUCGGCCGGAAGGUGACCCAAUCAUCCACAACGAGAAUCUUUUGAAGCCAGUGAACAUUUUUUUCAGCCGACCCUGAAAGCACAUACAGAAGAAUUAUUUAUUUUUUUUUUAUUUUUUUUUAUUUUUUUAUUUCAACAAACGUUACAUUUCAUUUUUAAAGAGGUACAUUUUAAUAAAAUGAUUCAAACAUUUGGGACGCCCUGUAAAAGGAUGGUGACACCGGGUAUUAAAUGAAAUUAUGCCAACUCAAUAAAUGGCUGUGAGAAGGCUUACUGUUGCGGUUAGGCGUCGCUGAGCGCCAGAGAGCGCUGUAAGAGCGGCUCUUGUAUGCAUGUGCGUAUGUAUAUAAAAAUGCGUUUUUCUAAUGCAACUUUAAAAAAUAAUUUGGGACGUAACCUUCUUGGAUUUGUUUUUCAAUCCUGGUAAAACUUCUUUCUUAAAAAUGUAUUUAUAUUUGGUUUUAAAAACGUACUCAUUGGUAUAAAAUCAUAAAAGUAACGUUUAACGCAUAACGCCUGAGAUGCAUAGAUUGACUACGAAACAUUCAUGGGUCGUAGCCCUCUAUUUCAAAAUAAGCAUGUUUGUGAAAUUCUAUUUUUUAAUAACUACACUUUUAAAAUGUGAAAAAAUUAAUGAUACUUACCUUUCCAUGCAUGAAAAAAUAUUUUCAUAGACUUGAUAAAAAGUGUUUCAAGAUAAAAUUAAGUUUAAAAUUUUUGUGUUUAAAGUUUUUGAAUAAUUGAAGAAUGACUUCAUAGAAUUUUAAGAAACUCUUUAUGUCACCAAGACGUUUCGCCCCAAACGUUUCGAAGUCGUUUUUGAAUCAUUUAUAACAGACUCUCAUCUAGGAAGAUUUAGGAGCUGUUAAAAAUACUUAGAAUGUUUUAUAGACGUACCUUCGGAAAAUUUUGGUUUUGUUUGCGGAAAUUUAAAAAAAACACGAGUUUUAGAGCGCCCUUGUGCCAUUAGGGCAAGAUCUCGUUUGGGAAGAGAAUGAGUUCGUCUGGCUGCCCAAAAAUAAUUUAAAUCGUCUCGAAAGAAGAACUCCGUUGCUAAAUUAAUUCAUGCAAAUUCAUGCAGAAUUUUUUUUUUCACGUUGAGAGAUUUGUAGGUUUACAGCUACAUCUCGGCCAUGCGUUCAAAAAGGUCUUAAGGACGAUAUAAUGUGUAUUUUCUUUGGGCCUAUGACUGAAUAAUUCUGAUUCCUUUAAUCCCUCACUGUCAACUCUUAAGUAUAGGUCUAAUGCGAUCAUAGAACCUGCACAAUACUUAAGUAUCAUUUGCUAGGCAGUAAAAGAGGGAAACGGAAACAAAGAGAUAAAUACAUCUUGUAUUAUUCAGUUACAAUCAGUGCAGUGUGCAUAAAUGAGUCGUGUUUUCAAUUUCGAAUAUCAUCCCAAAAAUUAUGGAUUUACCGAUAAGUAUUACGUCAUGUCUAUUCGGGUUUUUAUAUUUCAUUUUUUGCUCAUAAUAGAUACCUGGUAGAACAUUACGGAGAAAACUAAAGCCAUGUUUUCAUUUGUACAUUAUGUAGAAACUGCAAUGUAUAUUGAACAAUUAUAACUCAUUCAUUUUUUGGUUUCAUAAAAAUAGACCACUAUCGUUUCAGUGCGUGAAUUAUAAGCGAAUUAUUCCGACCGUUUUCGAUGAUACCUUAUUAUUUAACUCUUUCAAUGUUAUUGAGGAUAACUGUGUACAUCUUCAAGCGAUUGUCAUUGUGUAAUGACGCUUUUUGCAUAUAAUUAAGUCUGAAUAAAUAUCUUAUUUGGUUUGUUCUCAUUGUCUUUGACUAGUAAAAUUCGAAAAAUCCUUUUUUGAUGGAGUGGAUAUCGUGAAAAUAUAUUUGAUCGCGUUUGAGAUAGAGUAUAUUAGUCUUCCUCACAUCUAUUAAGUUAAACAUCUAAAUUUUGUGUAAUUUCAGUAAUUUUUCA